UACGAGGGGAGCAAGCGUUGUUCGGAUUUACUGGGCGUAAAGGGCGCGUAGGCGGCAAUUCAAGUCAUCUGUGAAAUCUCCGGGCUUAACCCGGAACGGUCAGGUGAUACUGUUUUGCUAGAGUGCGGAAGGGGCAAUCGGGAAUUCUCGGUGUAGCGGUGAAAUGCGUAGAUAUCGAGAGGAACAUCAGUGGCGAAGGCGGCCAUCUGGGACAACACUGACGCUGAGGCACGAAAAGCUAGGGGGAGCAAACAGG
rnacentral:rRNA from 1 species